rnacentral:tRNA from 1 species
GCGAAGGUGGCGGAAUUGGUAGACGCACCGGCCUUAGGAGCCGACGCCGCGAGGCAUGAGGGUUCGAGUCCCUCCCUUCGCACCA